GUUAACUCUAUAGUUUUGUCACCCUCCUCACUUUCCAAAGGCAUCUCUAGGCUCUUUAUUGCACCUGGUAAGUGAAGAUGCCUGGGUUUGAAACUCUACUCUUGAACUGCUACUUCCAUUCAUCUUUCCUAUUGCUACUCUUACAGAACCGGUUCUUCUCUCUUAUUAAAAAACAUCCCUGUUCCAGCCCUAGUUGUGGAAGGUGGCUGUAGUCAUGGUGAUGCUUCAGCAGAUGAGAACGAAUGUGGGCAAGUUGCUCAACAAUAUCCAUAGGUAUAAUUCUGAGAACCUGGACACCCUAGAGAGCUAUGUGGAGAUGCAGGCCAAGGAGAAUGCCUAUGGUUUAGAAGCCAACUUGGCUGUCUUGAAGCGGUGCUAGUUUAGCCCAGCCUUCUUUCAGACCGUGUCACUGCCCACCUACCUAUCCCACCCCUACUUCAUCCUGUGCAAGUAUACGUUCAUCCAAACACAUCAAGAAAAGCAGCUGAUCCGACAGAUUUUGUACCUGGGGGAUCUGCCUUGACACUUCCAGGCCUUCUGGCAAGCCCUGGAUGAAAACAUGACCCUUAUACAAAGUAUAACUAGCUUUAAAGGCUGUUAGAAAAUUUGUCUGCCAUGUCAUGGAUAUCACUCAACUAGCACAUUUACUGCUGGCUGCUGGCUCAGAUGCUCUGGGAUUUGACAGCCAGCCAGCUGAAUGUAUGGAUGAGAAAAUAUGGAGGAAACACCAAUGAAUGAGUCAGGGCAGAUCUUCAUCUGUAGCCAAGAAGAAAGCAGGAAGCCCAAGAACAUUGUGGAGAAGAUCAACUUUGAAAGUGUUUCCAGCAUCAUGGCCUCCUCCCAGUAACUGCAGGUGUUUAAUAAAGAUUUGUUGAAUC